UUUGACAACGUCUAGUUUGGUGUUGUUACAAAAAAACAUAAAUAAUUCGAAAGCGCUAAAAUAAAAAAUUAAGUGAAAAAAUGUCAUUUGAGUACCUCGCUUAUAGUUUGUCGCGUAGUCAGCAGCAGUUUAACGCAUUGAGGGUGGAUCGGCGUAUAUUGCGGAGUGCGGACAAUCCGUUUGAAUUGCCACCAACAGAGUUCCGGAAAUUAUACCGGCUAGGACCCAACUUGGCAGCCGAUCUGGUUCAACGGUUGGAAGUGUAUAUAAAAGGCUCGAGAGUAACUGCCAUAUCCGCCGAAAAGCAGGUUCUGUCUACUUUGCGCUUUUAUGCCACUUGGUGCUAUCAACGCCCUGUAGGAGAGCGGUGGGGCAUUUCGAUGAGCCAGUCAUCCAUAAGCCGUUGUACUCAUCGUGUGACAGAGGCAAUUAACAACCACUUGUUUUUAACGGAAGUCAAGUUUCCUAUGACGCAAAUGGAACGCCAAGCUGCCAAAGAAGUAUUUUCCUCAGCAGCUGCGCCUUUUGUGGGGGGAACUAUUGGGGCGAUCGAUUGUACCCAUAUUUCUAUUUUGGCUCCGAAAAAAUAAUGAGGAGGCGUACGUCAACCAUCAUGGAUACCACUCAUUAAAUGUAUGAAUGAUAUGCGACCCGAACUUGAAAAUUUUAAACGUGAAUGCGAAACAUCUGGGAGCAUGACAUGACUCCUACAUUUGGAGCUCCUCUGCAGUGCGGAGAGUGAUGCAGCGUUCGUACGAGAAUGGGAACCACAACUUGUUUUUAAUAGGUGAUUCUGGAUACCCCCUAGAGCCGUGGCUUAUGACGCCGUUACCAAACCAACCGGAGGGGUCUCCUAAAUUUCGCUAUAAUGAAGCGCUAUGCAAGGCUAGGAAUCCCAUCGAAAGACUUUUCGGCGUCCUCAAAGGAACUUGGCGAUGUCUUUCGCAACAAAGGGUUCUUUUGUACGAUCCCGGGUUUGCUGCAUAAUAUUCGUUUGGGAGAGCAGCAAACGAACGAACAUUAAAACUUUGCAACCGAAAGUGGGGCAGACAGACUUCUUGAUAACUCUAAUUCGUCAUCUUCCGCUGCGAAACGAAUCCAAGAUAGAUUAAUAGCUAUCUUUUUUUCCUAAUUACUUCUAGUUACUUAAUCAUUUUUUCUCCUUUAGACUGCGAUCAAAAUUUCAAAUAUAUACCCAAAUUAUAGCCUGACCACAUAUUGACAAGU
rnacentral:lncRNA from 1 species